AAUAGAUACCCCGGUAGUCCACGCCGUAAACGAUGAGUGCUAAGUGUUAGGGGGUUUCCACCCCUUAGUGCUGCAGCUAACGCAUUAAGCACUCCGCCUGGGGAGUACGGUCGCAAGACUGAAACUCAAAGGAAUUGACGGGGGCCCGCACAAGCGGUGGAGCAUGUGGUUUAAUUCGAAGCAACGCGAAGAACCUUACCAGGUCUUGACAUCCCGCUGACCGCUAUGGAGACAUAGCCUUCCCUUCGGGGACAGCGGUGACAGGUGGUGCAUGGUUGUCGUCAGCUCGUGUCGUGAGAUGUUGGGUUAAGUCCCGCAACGAGCGCAACCCUUGUCCUUAGUUGCCAUCAUUCAGUUGGGCACUCUAAGGAGACUGCCGUACAAAUACGGAGGAAGGUGGGGAUGACGUCAAAUCAUCAUGCCCCUUAUGACCUGGGCUACACACGUGCUACAAUGGACGGUACAAACGGUCGCGAAGUCGCGAGACGGAGCCAAUCCGAAAAAACCGUUCUCAGUUCGGAUUGCAGG
rnacentral:rRNA from 1 species